GACGAACGCUGGCGGCGUGCUUAACACAUGCAAGUCGAACGAAGUGGCGAACGGGUGAGUAACGCGUAAUCAACCUGCCCUUCAGCGGGGGACAACAGUUGGAAACGACUGCUAAUACCGCAUACUGAAGGAGGGGCUUGCGUCUGAUUAGCUAGUGGGGGGGGUAACGGCCCACCAAGGCGAAGAUCAGUAGCCGGUCUGAGGGGAUGAACGGUCACAUUGGGACUGAGACACGGCCCAGACUCCUACGGGGGGCAGCAGGGGGGAAUCUUCCGCAAUGGACGAAAGUCUGACGGAGCAACGCCGCGUGAGUGAUGACGGCCUUCGGGUUGUAAAGCUCUGUUAAUCGGGACGCGGUACCGGAAUAGAAAGCCACGGCUAACUACGUGCCAGCAGCCGCGGUAAUUC
rnacentral:rRNA from 1 species